CUGCUAUAAUAGUCUGUUGUAUGAACACUAGUCAUGUCUGUUUCCCUUGGCUCCGUUGUGAAGCCAUAGUCGUCCUGUAGACAGAUUGCGUGGUGGACUAGGGGAAUUUGAGUGAUGCGUCGAGGCUGUAAAUCAUGUGUGCUUAAGUCUGCUGCUGACACCGGGUGUUAAACUGCCGCAGCCCUCGUUUCCUUCACAUUCCAAUUGAAACGAACCCAGAUGGAAAUGUGUAAUGAAAUACAAGAAAUGUGCUGUCUUGCCAGAAAUGUUUGGGAGUGCUUCUGCAAGUGCUGUUGUUUCUGGUGAUCCAAAUCUCCCAGGAUGAUAUGCGUGUUGGUGGAGGGGAGAGAAGGGGUGCGCGAUUUGUGGAUGAGCUGAGAUCUGCCUUACGGUGUUGAGCUCCACACCAGUGUGACACGACUCCUCCAGCAACGUGAGAGGAGAGACACCACCAGCAUGUCGCACGCUUUCUCUCAAUCCACUGCACUGGCUGAAAAACAGCUGCUGGACUUGAGACAGACACUCAUUUGAGUACAAAUAGGAGGAUCUGUCUAGAUGUGAAAUAUUGUAGACUACUUAGUCAUCGAUUUGACUCAAACUAGUUAGACUAGCAGUUUUGGGUUAGAUAUGGCUAUAUUCCAAUUGUAACUGAUUUUUGUUGUAAUAUUUGAAAUACACCAGCCUUUUUUGUUUGAUCGGUCCAUAAUGCAAAGCUGCUGCAGCAGGGCUUUGAUUCCCUGUCGAUGUUAGAAUGGAUAAGGUAUUCCCCCCUCAAGGCCUAAACCCAUUCGAAUUAGCAUUUUUAUUUUAUUUUCAUAUUGCUUUCAGGCAGGAAUUAUGGAGAAUGAAUAAAUCAAUAAAAUAAAGCAAUUAGGCCGACUGUUGUCUUCUUCUGUUUCAGCUUGCAGAGCUGUGAUGUCACAGAAUUGAGGAUCCUUCAGCAAUAUGGAGUCUGGAGAGCGGCUGGCCUCCCCAUCGUCAGCCCCGUCCUCCCUGCAUAUCACCACGUCCGCGGUCUCCUCCGUCGGCUCCUCACCUGCCUCGGCCAAGACACCCUCCUCAAAGUGCAGCGUCACCCCCACCCACGCCGCUCUGGGCUCCCCUCUCACCACCUGUGGUACGUAAACACACACACACACACACACACACACACACACACACACACACACACACACACAGAUCAAUCACGCUACAUGCGAAUACAUGAGCUAUAUUCACCUCUAACUCAUCAUAUUUCAUUAUUCUCCAACUACAAAUUAAACAAGAAAAGAGCAUUCUUUAGUGUUAAUUAUGAGGGUUCAGUAAGAUGAAGAAAGCACCGUCUUCUCACACUUUAUUUCCUGACAGUUUGUGGAGAAAUUAAAAAGCUUUAGCAUUAAUCGACACCAGCAAUGAAAAAUCCUCUGUGUAAGACGUCGCACACCCGCUCUGUUUCUUGACAACCUUUAGCACCAGUUUAGCCCGUUGUGAUUUGACAGGUCUGUCAGCCAAAUAGAGUGCUGUGGCCUCCGCUGCCUCAAACAUCCUCUGUUUUCUCUGAAUACUAAUUGUGUCCGACGCUAUUGUGGCGAGCAGCGGUGAUGCAUAAACUGUCAGGUUACCCUGACCAGAAAAU
rnacentral:lncRNA from 1 species